AGUAAAAAUCAUGUUGUGUCGGGAGAAAACAUGUCAGAAGAUUGGAGUCGGGCCGGAGGAAUGGUCAACAUAUCGACAGAAGGCUUCGAGCUGUAGAUUCGGGCAUUAGGCCAAGAAGAGCGGAUAUUGCGCCAAGGAUAUCAGAGUUGCAGAAUCAAUUGACCAAUUAGGCAAUAGGCUAUAAGAGAGGAUGAUGCGCCAAAGAAUCGGACGAAGCAUCG
rnacentral:lncRNA from 1 species